rnacentral:rRNA from 1 species
UACGGAGGGUGCGAGCGUUGUCCGGAAUUACUGGGCGUAAAGCGCGCGUAGGUGGUUCGUUAAGUUGGAUGUGAAAUCCCCGGGCUCAACCUGGGAACUGCAUUCAAAACUGUCGAGCUAGAGUAUGGUAGAGGGUGGUGGAAUUUCCUGUGUAGCGGUGAAAUGCGUAGAUAUAGGAAGGAACACCAGUGGCGAAGGCGACCACCUGGACUGAUACUGACACUGAGGUGCGAAAGCGUGGGGAGCAAACAGG